rnacentral:tRNA from 1 species
CACUAGGUGACUGAAAGUAAGUGUAGGUCUUUUAAACCUAUUAUAGUGCCUAACAACCACUCCAAGUGA